rnacentral:rRNA from 1 species
GCGAACGGGUGAGUAACACGUGAGUAAUCUGCCUCUGGCUUCGGGAUAGCCACCGGAAACGGUGAUUAAUACCGGAUACGACACGCUCUUGCAUGAGAUGUGUGUGGAAAGUUUUUUCGGCCAGGGAUGUGCUCGCGGCCUAUCAGCUUGUUGGUGGGGUAAUGGCCUACCAAGGCUUCGACGGGUAGCCGGCCUGAGAGGGUGACCGGCCACACUGGGACUGAGACACGGCCCAGACUCCUACGGGAGGCAGCAGUGGGGAAUAUUGGACAAUGGGCGGAAGCCUGAUCCAGCAACGCCGCGUGAGGGAUGACGGCCUUCGGGUUGUAAACCUCUUUCAGCACAGACGAAGCGCAAGUGACGGUAUGUGCAGAAGAAGGACCGGCCAACUACGUGCCAGCAGCCGCGGUAAUACGUAGGGUCCGAGCGUUGUCCGGAAUUAUUGGGCGUAAAGGGCUCGUAGGCGGUUUGUCGCGUCGGGAGUGAAAACACCGGGCUUAACUCGGUGCUUGCUUUCGAUACGGGCAGACUAGAGGCAUUCAGGGGAGAACGGAAUUCCUGGUGUAGCGGUGAAAUGCGCAGAUAUCAGGAGGAACACCGGUGGCGAAGGCGGUUCUCUGGGAAUGUCCUGACGCUGAGGAGCGAAAGU